AGCAAGAUUAGUUCAUCGUUUUCGAUUCUUAGCAAACUCGUCGAAGACAAUGGCGACCCUUAAAGUUCCUGCCCAUGUUCCACCUCCAUCUGAGGAUGCUGAGCAGCUCCACAAAGCUUUCCAAGGAUGGGGUACAAAUGAGUCUUUGAUUAUCUCCAUUUUGGCUCACAGGAAUGCUCCUCAGCGCAACUUAAUUCGACAGACUUAUGCUGAAGCUUAUGGGGAAGAUCUCCUUAUAGCGCUG
rnacentral:misc_RNA from 1 species